rnacentral:rRNA from 1 species
UAAGGAAUAUUGGACAAUGGGCGCAAGCCUGAUCCAGCAAUGCCGCGUGUGUGAAGAAGGCCUUCGGGUUGUAAAGCACUUUUAUCUGGAGCGAAAUCUGCAGGGCUAAUACCCAUGCAGUCUGACGGUACCAGAGGAAUAAGCACCGGCUAACUUCGUGCCAGCAGCCGCGGUAAUACGAAGGGUGCAAGCGUUACUCGGAAUUACUGGGCGUAAAGCGUGAGUAGGUGGUUUCUUAAGUCUGCUGUGAAAGCCCCGGGCUCAACCUGGGAAUUGCAUUCGAAACUGGCAGGCUUGAGUCUUGUAGAGGGGGGUAGAAUUCCAGGUGUAGCGGUGAAAUGCGUAGAGAUCGGGAGGAACACCAGUGGCGAAGGCGGCUACCUGGACCAGCACUGACACUGAGUCACGAAAGCGUGGGGGGCAAAC